rnacentral:rRNA from 1 species
GAUGAACGCUGGCGGCGUGCUUAACACAUGCAAGUCGAACGGAAAGGCUCCUGCUUGCAGGGGUACUCGAGUGGCGAACGGGUGAGUAACACGUGGGUGAUCUGCUCUGCACUUCGGGAUAAGCCUGGGAAACUGGGUCUAAUACCGGAUAGGACGAUGGUUUGGAUGCCAUUGUGGAAAGUUUUUUCGGUGUGGGAUGAGCUCGCGGCCUAUCAGCUUGUUGGUGGGGUAAUGGCCUACCAAGGCGUCGACGGGUAGCCGGCCUGAGAGGGUGUACGGCCACAUUGGGACUGAGAUACGGCCCAGACUCCUACGGGAGGCAGCAGUGGGGAAUAUUGCACAAUGGGCGCAAGCCUGAUGCAGCGACGCCGCGUGGGGGAUGACGGCCUUCGGGUUGUAAACUCCUUUCGCUAGGGACGAAGCGCAAGUGACGGUACCUGGAGAAGAAGCACCGGCUAACUACGUG